UCGGUAAUUCCAGCUCCAAUAGCGUAUAUUAAAGUUGUUGCAGUUAGAACGCUCGUAGUCGGAUUUCGGGGCGGGCCGACCGGUCUGCCGAUGGGUACGCACUGGUCGGCGCGUCCUUCCUUCCGGAGACCGUGCCUACUCUUAACUGAGCGGGGGCGGGAGACGGAUCGUUUACUUUGAAAAAAUCAGAGUGUUUCAAGCAGGCAGCUCGCUCUUGCAUGGAUUAGCAUGGGAUAAUGAAAUAGGACUUUGGUGCUAUUUUGUUGGUUUCGAACACCGAAGUAAUGAUUAACAGGGACAGUCAGGGGCACUCGUAUUCCGCCGAGAGAGGUGAAAUUCUCAGACCAGCGGAAGACGAACUACUGCGAAAGCAUUUGCCAGGGAUGUUUUCACUGAUCAAGAACGAAAGUUAGGGGAUCGAAGAGGAUCAGAUACCCUCGUAGUCUUAACCAUAAACCAUGCCGACUAGGGAUUGGGGGAUGUUCACAUAUUGACUCCCUCAGCACCUUACGGGAAACUAAAGUCUUUGGGUUCCGGGGGGAGUAUGGUCGCAAGGCUGAAACUUAAAGGAAUUGACGGAAGGGCACCACCAGGUGUGGAGCCUGCGGCUUAAUUUGACUCAACA
rnacentral:rRNA from 1 species